rnacentral:rRNA from 1 species
UGCCAGCAGCCGCGGUAACACGGGGGGCGCAAGCGUUAUUCGGAAUUACUGGGCGUAAAGCGCGCGUAGGCGGACUGUUAAGUCGGGGGUGAAAUCCCGGGGCUCAACCCCGGAACUGCCUUCGAUACUGGCAGUCUUGAGUUCUGGAGAGGCGAGUGGAAUACCGAGUGUAGAGGUGAAAUUCGUAGAUAUUCGGUGGAACACCAGUGGCGAAGGCGGCUCGCUGGCUCGAUUCUGACGCUGAGGUGCGAAAGUGUGGGGAGCAAACAGGAUUAGAUA